AGAAUGACUCUCGGCAACGGAUAUCUAGGCUCUUGCAUCGAUGAAGAACGUAGCGAAAUGCGAUACUUGGUGUGAAUUGCAGAAUCCCGUGAACCAUCGAGUCUUUGAACGCAAGUUGCGCCUGAUGCCAUUAGGUUGAGGGCACGUCUGCCUGGGUGUCACAU
rnacentral:rRNA from 1 species